GAGACCCACGCCAACAGUUGCCAGCAUGUCCUCCGGGAUGGUGGGGACACUGUUGGGACCGCCUCUGCUAAAGAGGAGGAAGGAAUGGGCAACGGUAGGUCAGCAUGCCCCGAAUUAUCCGGGCUACACGCGGGCUACAAUGGUCAGGACAAUGGGUAUCGACACCGAGAGGUGAAAGCAAUCUCUUAAACCUGUCCUUAGUUCGGAUUGUGGGCUGCAACUCGCCCACAUGAAGCUGGAAUCCGUAGUAAUCGCGUCUCAAAAUGGCGCGGUGAAUAU
rnacentral:rRNA from 1 species